GCAAGCGUUAUCCGGAAUUACUGGGCGUAAAGCGCACGCAGGCGGUCUUUUAAGUUUGACGUGAAAGCUCCCGGCUUAACUGGGAGAGGUCGUUGAAGACUGGAAGACUUGAGGCAAUGGGAGGGGUGUAGAAUUCCCGGUGUAGUGGUGGAAUGCGUAGAUAUCGGGGGGAAUACCAGUGGCGAAAGCGGCACCCUAGCGUUAGCCUGACGCUCAUGUGCGAAAGCGUGGGGAGCGAACGGG
rnacentral:rRNA from 1 species